rnacentral:rRNA from 1 species
AUUGAACGCUGGCGGCAGGCCUAACACAUGCAAGUCGGGCGAGGGGCGGACGGGUGAGUAAUGUAUGGGGCUCUGCCUGAUGGAGGGGGAUCAAUUCUGGACACUGUAGCAAAUACCGUAUACCCUCAGGUGCCCCCAUAUGGGAUUAGCUUGUAGGUGAGGUAACGGCUCACCUAGGCGACGAUCCCUAGCUGGUCUGAGAGGAUGAACAGCCACACUGGGACUGAGACACGGCCCAGACUCCUACGGGAGGCAGCAGUGGGGAAUAUUGCACAAUGGGCGCAAGCCUGAUGCAGCCAUGCCGCGUGUAUGAAGAAGGCCUUCGGGUUGUAAAGUACUUUCAGUCGGGAGGCGUUACCGGCAGAAGAAGCACCGGCUAACUCCGUGCCAGCAGCCGCGGUAAUAC